rnacentral:rRNA from 1 species
CAGCCGCCACGGUAAUACGGAGGGUGCAAGCGUUAUCCGGAUUUAUUGGGUUUAAAGGGUCCGUAGGCGGAUCUGUAAGUCAGUGGUGAAAUCUCACAGCUUAACUGUGAAACUGCCAUUGAUACUGCAGGUCUUGAGUAAAUUUGAAGUGGCUGGAAUAAGUAGUGUAGCGGUGAAAUGCAUAGAUAUUACUUAGAACACCAAUUGCGAAGGCAGGUCACUAAGAUUUAACUGACGCUGAUGGACGAAAGCGUGGGGAGCGAACAGGAUUAGAUACCCGCGUAGUCCCUGUCUCUUAUAA